rnacentral:rRNA from 1 species
AGGGAUCCGAAAGGUGACCGACCUUCGGGAGCCAUUACAGGUGUUGCAUGGCUGUCGUCAGCUCGUGUCGUGAGAUGUUCGGUUAAGUCCGCUAACGAGCGCAACCCUCGCUGUGUGUUAUAUGUGUCACACAGGACUGCUGGUAUUAAGCCGGAGGAAGGUGGGGACGACGUCAAGUCAGCAUGACCUUUAUAUCCAGGGCUACACACACGCUACAAUGGUCAGUACAAUGGGUUGCCAAGCCGCGAGGCGGAGCCAAUCCUAAAAAGCUGGCCUCAGUUCAGAUUGCAGUCUGAAACUCGACUGCAUGAAGUCGGAGUUGCUAGUAAACGCAGGUCAGCUAUACUGCGUUGAAUACGUUCCCGGGGCUU